UACGGAAGGCAGCAGUGGGGAAUAUUGCACAAUGGGCGCAAGCCUGAUGCAGCCAUGCCGCGUGUAUGAAGAAGGCCUUCGGGUUGUAAAGUACUUUCAGCGGGGAGGAAGGCGAUGUGGUUAAUAACCGCAUCGAUUGACGUUACCCGCAGAAGAAGCACCGGCUAACUCCGUGCCAGCAGCCGCGGUAAUACGGAGGGUGCAAGCGUUAAUCGGAAUUACUGGGCGUAAAAGCGCACGCAGGCGGUCUGUCAAGUCGGAUGUGAAAUCCCCGGGCUUAACCUGGGAACUGCAUUCGAAACUGGCAGGCUAGAGUCUUGUAGAGGGGGUAGAAUUCCAGGUGUAGCGGUGAAAUGCGUAGAGAUCUGGAGGAAUACCGGUGGCGAAGGCGGGCCCCUGGGACAAAGGCUGACGCUCAGGUGCGAAAGCGUGGGGAGCAAACGAGGAUUAGGAUAACC
rnacentral:rRNA from 1 species